rnacentral:rRNA from 1 species
UACGGAAGGCAGCAGUGGGGAAUAUUGCACAAUGGGCGAAAGCCUGAUGCAGCUAUGCCGCGUGUAUGAAGAAGGCCUUAGGGUUGUAAAGUACUUUCAUCGGGGAGGAAAAAACAAAACUAAUAAUUUUAUUUCUUGACGUUACCCGAAAAAGAAGCACCGGCUAACUCCGUGCCAGCAGCCGCGGUAAUACGGAGGGUGCUAGCGUUAAUCAGAAUUACUGGGCGUAAAGAGCACGUAGGUGGUUUUUUUAAGUCAGAUGUGAAAUCCCUGGGCUUAACCUAGGAACUGCAUUUUGAAACUGAAAUACUAGAGUAUCGUAGAGGGAGGUAGAAUUCUAGGUGUAGCGGUGAAAUGCGUAGAUAUCUGGAGGAAUACCUGUGGCGAAAGCGGCCUCCUAAACGAAUACUGACACUGAGGUGCGAAAGCGU